UGCAGUCGAGGGGUAUAGUAGCAAUACUAGAGACCGGCGCACGGGUGCGUAACGCGUAUGCAAUCUACCUUUCACAGAGGGAUAGCCCAGAGAAAUUUGGAUUAAUACCUCAUAGUAUAAUGAGUUGGCAUCAACACAUUAUUAAAGUCACAACGGUGAAAGAUGAGCAUGCGUCCCAUUAGCUAGUUGGUAAGGUAACGGCUUACCAAGGCAACGAUGGGUAGGGGUCCUGAGAGGGAGAUCCCCCACACUGGUACUGAGACACGGACCAGACUCCUACGGGAGGCAGCAGUGAGGAAUAUUGGACAAUGGGCGCAAGCCUGAUCCAGCCAUGCCGCGUGCAGGAUGACGGUCCUAUGGAUUGUAAACUGCUUUUGCACAGGAAGAAACACCCCGACGUGUCGGGGCUUGACGGUACUGUGAGAAUAAGGAUCGGCUAACUCCGUGCCAGCAGCCGCGGUAAUACGGAGGAUCCAAGCGUUAUCCGGAAUCAUUGGGUUUAAAGGGUCCGUAGGCGGGCUAAUAAGUCAGUGGUGAAAUCUCCCGGCUCAACCGGGAAAUGGCCAUUGAUACUGUUAGUCUUGAAUUAUUAGGAAGUAACUAGAAUAUGUAGUGUAGCGGUGAAAUGCUUAGAGAUUACAUGGAAUACCAAUUGCGAAGGCAGGUUACUACUAAUUGAUUGACGCUGAUGGACGAAAGCGUGGGUAGCGAACAGGAUUAGAUACCCUGGUAGAAUCACUAGUGAAUUC
rnacentral:rRNA from 1 species